AGAAUCAACGCUGGCGGCGUGCCUAACACAUGCAAGUCGAACGCGAAAGGGGAGCAAUCCCUGAUUAGAGUGGCAAACGGGUGAGUAACACGUGGGUGACCUGCCUUCGAGUGGGGGAUAACCUUCCGAAAGGAGGGCUAAUACCGCAUGACAUACCGUGUUUGGAUACACGGAUAUCAAAGCCGGGGAUCGCAAGACCUGGCGCUUGGAGAGGGGCCCGCGUCCGAUUAGCUAGUUGGUGAGGUAACGGCUCACCAAGGCUCCGAUCGGUA
rnacentral:rRNA from 1 species